rnacentral:misc_RNA from 1 species
UUUGUUUCUUUCCUUGAAGACAUCACCCACAGUGUGUUGGAAUAUAUGAAAUGAAAUACCAAUAGCAGCCUAGUCAUGCUCAUUAUGGAAAUUCCCAAUCUCACACAUUCAUCAGAGCAGCUGAAAUAGAUGAGAAAUGAGCCAAAUUUUGAUACGGAGUACAGCAUGUGUAGUUCAAAACUAUUUUUGGCCAAUUGAGAUAUGAAAGUUUUGUAGCAUUAUUGGAACCAAGUGGGAGUUUUCGAAACUAGUGUAUCUUUUAAUCAGUUGGAAAUUCCCUUCCUUCACAAAUUACAUACAGAUCAUAUUUAAGAACAUAGAUUAUUCAUUGUAUAUCAAGGUUGCAGGUGUUGGAAAUUCACCUGUGCUUUCAGUUGCAACGACAAUAUGGGGGAAUCAAAUUGUGCUAUGGGA